rnacentral:rRNA from 1 species
AUUGAACGCUGGCAGCAGGCCUAACACAUGCAAGUCGAGCGGCAGCGGAAAGUAGCUUGCUACUUUGCCGGCGAGCGGCGGACGGGUGAGUAAUGUCUGGGAAACUGCCCGAUGGAGGGGGAUAACUACUGGAAACGGUGGCUAAUACCGCAUAACGUCUUCGGACCAAAGUGGGGGACCUUCGGGCCUCACACCAUCGGAUGUGCCCAGAUGGGAUUAGCUAGUAGGUGGGGUAAUGGCUCACCUAGGCGACGAUCCCUAGCUGGUCUGAGAGGAUGACCAGCCACACUGGAACGGAGACACGGUCCAGACUCCUACUGGAGGGAGCAGUGGGGAAUAUUGCACAAUGGGCGCAAGCCUGAUGCAGCCAUGCCGCGUGUGUGAAGAAGGCCUUCGGGUUGUAAAGCACUUUCAGCGAGGAGGAAGGCAGUCGUGUUAAUAGCGCGACUGAUUGACGUUACUCGCAGAAGAAGCACCGGCUAACUCCGUGCCAGCAGCCGCGGUAA